rnacentral:rRNA from 1 species
UACGGAGGGGACUAGCGUUGUUCGGAAUUACUGGGCGUAAAGCGCACGUAGGCGGAUUUGUAAGUCAGGGGUGAAAUCCCGAGGCUCAACCUCGGAACUGCCUUUGAUACUGCAAAUCUCGAGUCCGGAAGAGGUGAGUGGAAUUCCUAGUGUAGAGGUGAAAUUCGUAGAUAUUAGGAAGAACACCAGUGGCGAAGGCGGCCCACUGGUCCGGUACUGACGCUGAGGUGCGAAAGCGUGGGGAGCAAACAGG